CUUAUGAAUUUAUUGAAAAGAUGUCACUGAAUAACUAACAGUCGCAAGGAGAACAAAGCCGACAAAAGCAACUUGUAAUGGGCCAAUUUAUCCCGGGCCCACGUUAGAACAAAAACCCAAAAUAAAUACCAAAUUAUUAAACCAAAAGUCCAAAGAAUGAAACCAAACUAAUAGUCUGCCAUAAAGGUCCAAAUAUUACAACCAAUAACAAUGCCCCAUAACCCAAAUACAACGGCCCAAUAACUGGAACAGACCCAAACGACCCCAAAAAUUGAGCCAAGUUUCGGCAAACCCUAAGUCACCCCUCUCUCCUGCGCCGCAACAACAACUGGGCAAUAGACCCAUACCUCCACUACAGCAGUCCCAUACCUCCACAGCCCUCGUACGCCACGCCCCCACCCCGUGCGCAUGCCAACAGACUCUGUACCUGCAAGAAAGAAACAAAAGCAGCAGCGAAUGGAAACAAAUAUAUUGUAUAUUUUCGGUUGAUUUCCUUUUUCGACUAUAAAAGCCCAGCUUUUAAUCUUUGUAAGGGGGGCAUACACACGUACAUUAUACGAAAAUUGAAUAGAAAAAUUCAAGAACAAUUUCUGAAGAGGUGAUCUUUCUUAGUCUUUUUAAUUUUUCUAUCAUUUUAUUUUUUUUCAUCGAUUGUUUUCAUCAUUUUCAUUCUAAAACAAAGAAGGGGAAAAAGCAAACCUUACCUUGCGAAACGGCCAUGGAUCUGUUCACUUCGUUAAGGUCGAGGUUGGAAAAGUCCUAAGGCGCCGUUGAUUGUUGUUGAUAUGCUAUCGACCACCUGAUUAAGUGGUGGAUUCGGUGGUUGCUGGAACAGACCUUAAUGAGUUGAUUUUCUAAGGCUGUGAAUUUUGGCUAAAUGAUGGCUGCGUUUGGGAAAAGAAGAAAGAAAAAAAAGGGUUUUAAAACCUAAUUAUCAAAUGGCACCAUUUAUAAUGAAAAAGCCCAGCGUGUUGACCCAUUUCGCAAGCCUGAUUUGCACAUUCCCACACAAAAAUGGGGAAUUUGUGCGAUGAAUCCUUCCUAUCGCACCAUGCUUUCAAUUGCGCCCCAGUUUAAUUACCCUUUUUUUUAAAAAUUUGGCCUUAUAAUUAGUGCGUCUUUUCACUUCGAUCUGCGAUUCAGUCCAGCAUUGUAAGCACGGGAUAUUUAUCAUUCUAGUCCCUGCAUAUUUGUGCGCAUGGCACAUUGACCCUAUUUUGCAAUUAUUUCAUUUGUAAAUUGGUUUUCUUGUUUUAACUUUGUUUCAAUUAAGUCUUAUCCACAUUUUAUAUUUACUGCACAUAAAAUUUUUUUUCUUACAUGCUAGAUUAUUAAUUGUGCUAUUUUGUUACUCUGAUAAUUGAAUUUUGUUUUGAAAAGCAUUAUAGUGAUCUUUUUAUUUGUUCUCUCAUCUUAAUAAUUGGCGUAUUAUUUGUAAUAUAAUUCAUUCUAGUUUAUGUAUGCUAUUAGUUACAUGAUAUUUUGCAAUUUCUUUUGGAUUUAUCCAUAUAUUUUAAUGUUUAUUAGAUAUAUUUAGUGUUUAUGCUUAAUCUACAUAUGUUAUUAAAGCCCCGUUGUUCAUAUAUAUAUAGCCUUUUAGUAAAUUGUACCUAAUGUUUUUAGUUUUAGUAAAUGUAUAACAUAUGAUAAGAUUAAGCUAAUUUAAAAUUCAUAUUUUUAUGUUAUUUUAACAUAUAACUAUCUCUAAAAGUGUCUCACAUGUGUAUAGCCUAUACUAAAUCAUUAUAGUACAUGUUAUUAAUUUCAUAUAGCUUUAUGUAAAUAUUUUAUGUAUAUAUAUUUUCCCUUAAAAUUGUUUAUGCGUGUAAUAUAUUUCUUUUUAAAGACCACAUUUUAAAUUGUACAAUUUACUUAUCGUAUAUAUUUUUAUAUUUUAUUAUCCUUAUGUAUGUAUUAUUUGUAUGUACCAUCAAUUUAAAUUAAUUUGUUACAUGUAAAAUUAUGUUAUAUAUUAUUUGUUUUAAAUUUCCCUUUAUAAAUAUAGUUUUAUAAAUUAUGUAUUUUGUACAAAUAGUUUUUUUCCCUCCUUUUUGUGUGUAUUAUUAGAUUUUUUUUAAAAAAGGAUUAGUUACAUGAAUAAUUUAUAUAUUUACUUAUCCCUUUUUAUGUACAUUAUCAAUUUCAUGCUACCUUUUUACAAAUAAUUAUUCCUAAAUAUAUAUAUAUAUGUGUCUGUGUGUGUGAGUGUGUUUGGUACGUAUAUCUUAUCGUGUAUUCCACCAUUUUUUCAUAUUUUUAAGUUUCCAUGUACCUUGUCAAUGUUUAAAUGAAUUUGUGUUUAAAAUAUUUUGCAUACGUUUUAAUUUAAACUUCAUUUUUAUAAUGUCCAUUUCAAAAAAUAUAUAUAUAGCCCUAGUUUUUAUAUAUGUGCAAAUUUGUCAAUCCACGUUUUAGGUGCCAUUUUAUUCGUCGUUACUUUAGAAUGAUUUUAUGCCAUAUUGCUUCUUCGAUUUGCAUUUUGUUUCGUGUAUCUAGUAGUAAUCAUUUUAUUGCGUCAUGUACGUUAUCGUUGCAUAUUAUUUAUUCAUUGUUUCAUAUCGUCAUGUUAAUUAUUCUCCAUGCGUUGUUGUAAUCGGAUUACAUUUUUAGGUUCGCUAUAUGUAAUUAUUAAUUUGUUAGUUGAUCACAUCUCAUAUAUGUCAAUUACCCCAUCUCAUCGUUUUCAUUCGAUUUUGAAAUUUGGUUUAAGACGAGAUUCGAUAUUUGGCAAUUCGCGGAAUAGUGCCCUAACGUGUUGGGUUGCAAUUUCGCGAUUGCUCGAAAUAAUCGAAUAUCACUUCAAAUUUCACUCAUAUCUUUUAAAAUCCCUUAAACGAAGACGAGAUUUGAUGUUUGGCAAUUCGAGGAAUCGUGCUCUAACGUGUUGGGUCGCAAUUUUGCAUUUGCUCAAAAUAAUCGAAUAUCACUUCGAAAUUCCCCUCAUGUCUUCUAAAAAUCUUUUAAAACAAAGGCGAUACUCGGUGUUUGAUAAUUCGGGAAUCAUGCCCUAUCGUGCUAGGUUGUGAUUACUCAUUUACUCAAAAUAAUCGAAUAUUCCAUUAGGUUUUCACUCAUGUUUAUUAAAAAUUUUUCAAAACGAAGGCGACGUUCGAUGUUUGGCAAUUUGAGAAUCGAGCCCUAUCGUGCUGGGUUGCGCUUUUUCAUUUGCUCAAAACAAUCAAAUAUCCCUUCGGAAUUUCACUCGUAUUUUCUAAGGUGAGGCAAUGUUCGAUGUUCGAAAAUUCAAGAAAUCGUGCCAUACUGUGCUGGUUUUCGGUUUUUCGUUGGACCGAAUAGUUGGGCAUCCUUUUGUCAAGUUCAAAUUGUAAACUUUCGGACAUCGAAACAAGAAAGUUUUGACAACCAACUCGGGUUAUUCAAACAUUAUUAAAAAAGGGAACCACAUUUCAAAAACAUUUUUAAUUUUAGACAUAAGGACAGUAUUUAAUUGAUUUGGUACCAGUUUUGGGCGUAGUGAGGGUGCUAAUCCUUCCUCAUACGUAACCGACUCCCGAGCCCAUUUUCUCAUAUUUUCGUAGACCAGAAUCGUCGUUUUAGUAAACUAAAAAUGUUUUUAUUCUUAGGUGAUCCGAUCACACCAAAACAAAAGAUCGGUGGCGACUCCAUGCAUUUGAUUUUCAAAAGUCGAUUACCCCAUUUUUUUAAAAAAAAAAUUUAAAUUUUUAAACCGAAGAUGGUUUCGACAGCUUGGCGACUCCACUGGGGAUGAAUGAGAGUCGAGCCAUAAAAAUCAAUUAUUUACUGUCCUUUAUCGAAAACUGAAAAUUUAUUUUAAAAAUCAUAUAUCUUUCGAUUGCAUUUGAUUGUAUGAUUGUCUUAGUGCGGGUCUUGUAAAAUAGCACUGCAUUUUAUUGCAUGAUCACUGUGGUCACACCUUCUAAGUGGGAGUAAGAAACUACGCUUUCGUGAGGUUUUCACCUCCGCAUGGGCUAGUGGAUAGCUUCCGGGGUACAUCCGUACCUAUGAUUUCGUGAGAUUUUCAUCUCCGCAUGGUCAUAGGGAAAUGUAUCCCCCUGAACCGAACUCGAUCUAUAUGAGCCUAUAAUGGGUGAGGAUUGAGGAAUCUACUGGUUCGGGUACCUUAUCUUUAGAACUAAACCGCAUAUAGUGAACCUUAAGAACGAUCCUUGGGUGAAGCCACGUCGAACCUUAGUACUUACCCGUAUAUGCGUCAUAGUUAUCGUUUAUGUGCUUGCAUUCUAUCGCUAUUAUUUGACACUAACCAGUGUUUUGUUUUGUUAUUUUUGCAUAACAUUACAUACUAAAAGAAGCGUUAAUUCGUAUUCAAUUACUAAGUUAGAAAAUUUGACAUGGAUAAUGAAUUUCUUAGUAAAGUCAAGGAUAAUGCGGCCGUUCGUGCAUGGUCGGAGAGGCUACGAUCAGAGAGAGGGGAUAGCUUGGCAAAAGGGUAUGUAUCGGAGCUGCAAGAUUUCACUCGCGUCAAUGUAGUACAGAACGAGCUGCAAGAGUUGAGAGACAUUUGGGCUAGUUGGAAUGAAGGAAUCAAGCAAUUAUUUUACCAAAAUUAUGGUGACGUAUCCUACCUGCUAGAUAUUAGAGUGGAUAAGCAUUUGUUCCGAGCCUUGGUGCAGUUUUGGAAUUCUGCAUACAAAUGUUUCACUUUUGGAGAAGUGGAUUUGGUACCUACCAUGGAGGAAUACACUACUUUGCUCAGGUGUCCCAAAAUUCAGGUCCGGAAGACUUAUGCUCGAGUUUUUAGUAGUCAGACUUUCGUGAAGAAACUGAUUAGCAUUUCUGGGAUGAGCGAGCCUUGGGUCACUGCUCGGAUUCAGCAAAAAGGAGAUAGCAAAUGUGUCAAUUGGGAGAAUUUGCGAGAUUUGAUCUUGACACAUCCAGAUGAAAGAAAGAGGGUUGAUAUAUUUGCCUUAAGCAUCUACGGAUUAGUGAUAUUUCCUAAGGCUUUGAGGCACGUAGACGAGGCGGUCAUUGAUUUGUUUGAUCGCCUUGAAAAGGGAAUCACACUGGUACCAGCAAUAUUGGUAGAAACGUUCAGAUCUUUGAGCUCAUGUCGGAAGACAGGCGAGGGGUGAUUCAUUAGAUGCGCGCAAUUAUUGAUGGCAUGGUUCCACGGGCACUUUUGGAAGGUAGAUAAAGUUUCCUAUCGAGUCUUCUCCGAGGGUUAUUCCCCGUUGAAAGAAGAGGCAGCUAUACAGAGGAGGGAGGAUAUCUUAGAGGAGAAGUGGAUGGACAUUCUUCAGAACCUCAAGGAGGGGGAUAUCAAGUGGAGAGCUUAUUGGAUAAUUCCUGACGAGAUCAUGUACCGAUGUGGUAGCUUUGAUUGGGUGUCAUUGUUAGGAAUUUGGGGAGCUACAGGGUAUACUCCGCUGUUCGCCUUGAGGCAAUAUAAGUCAAGGCAGUUUGUACCCACGACCUAUGGGCUUGCUCAGAGUGAAUUCUCAUUUAACGGUGCUCAUUAUAAGAAGAGAGUUCGGGAGUUAUCGGAUGCUUGGAAGCAAACUUGUUGGAUGAAGAGGUUAGUCGUCGGUUCUAUGGUAACGCCCGAGUAUAGCAAGUGGUUUAAGAAGAGGAUUAAUGAUAAUAUUCCUAGGCCAAGCUUGGAGAAUGCUCGACCUAUCGAGGAACAAUUACAAGUCGCACCAUCAGAAUUGGAAAUUAUAAGGCAAGAUUUCGAGAAGAAGAGUUCAGAGCUCGGGAAGAAGAUCGAACAGUUGGAGGAAGAGAAGAUGCAUCUAAGGUUAGAUGCUGAUGUUCAGAGAUUAGAAGCUGAGAAAUGGAGAAAAGGAAAAACUAAGGCCGAAGAAGACCUGAACAGCUUAAAGACAGACUACAAGAAGCUGCGCCUAUCUAUGAGGACUGUGGGUUUAGGUAAGACUUCCGAACAAUGGCGCCACGAAAUUCGAGAAGAAAAAGCCAAUACCGAUCGGUGGGAAAGAAAAUUUCGAGAAGCUCAAUCACGAAACGAAGAUUUGGAGAAGAGUCUGUCGGAAAGUAGAAAUGAGCGAGGGGAAUUAAGGGCUAGAGUGGCAGAACUCGAGAAGUCUCGGCAUCAGUACCAAAACCGCAACACCGCAAUAAAGUUGAGGGCAAGCUUGAGCAAGAUAGAAGAAAUGAAAAGAAGGAUAGAAGAUUUAGAGGUGUCACUACAGAACUGCGAGAUGCGGAUCCAAUUUUUCGAGGCAAAUGAGGAUCGUUGGAAAGAGCAGCUUCACCAUGCACAAGACCAAGUCAAAAAUAGAGAUUACCUUAUGGGGGAAGCCAUAACCCAAAUUCGGGAGGUAGCAGACUACUUGCAAACUUUAGCGGUUCAAGCGGACAUACUGAGCAUGAAGUAUGAGUUGGAGUCGGAUCGUGGGCAAGAGCUGGCCUCAUUGCUUAGAAAAAUUAGGACUUUAAGUGUUAGAGCGAAAUUUUAUUUGUAAUUCGACUUUAUGUAAAAGAUCUUAUUUUCGAGGGAAAUUUUCUAAGGGCAAUUGAAUCAAAAUUGAUGCCUCCUUUACAUUCAUGCAUUUGCAUUACAUCAUAUCAUUAUGCAUUAAAGGCCAUAAGAGUUUUCUAAUUAAUUAAUUAAAAAUUAUUUCAGUAACCUGGAAACCAACGAAAACCAACCAACCACGCAUCCCUACGGGUCGAGAAAAAAAUCAAUGGAUAAGAGACUCGAGAAAUUGGAGAAAAUGCAAAACGACAUGCAAGAACAAAUGCAGUCCCAGAUGGAAGAGCAGCUAGCCAAAAUUCAACGAGAGAUGAAGGAGCAAAUGAUGUAGUCUCAGAGAGAGAUGAUGUCCCAAUUAUCCAAAUUACUGCUGGGAGGAAUGGAUAAGGGGAAGGGCCCCAUGGACCAAGUUGAGGAAACCAAUAAAGAUCUCCAAUACCCCCCUAGCUUUACUCCGGUGCAUAUACCGAUGAAACCUGAGAUUAACCUACAAAAACCAUCGGUCACAAUCAUGCCCCAGCAAGUUCAGGCCGGAGCUUUAAUUCCGAUGAACUUCUAAGCCGGCUCAGGCUCUAACUAUGUCAACAACCCGAACUAUCCGCCCGUUCCCGACUUGGAUGAAGCUGCUGAAGAGGAAAAGGUGAGGAUAGAUUCGCAAAAACAAUUGGAAGAACGUUGUAGAUGGCUCGAGGAAAAAUUCAAAGCCAUGGAGAGCGCGGAUCAUCAUUAAGGGAUUGAUGCCAAAGAUCUGAGUCUGGUCCCAGAUUUAGUCCUCCCCCCUAAAUUCAAAACACCUGAAUUCGAGAAAUACAAUGGAACAAGUUGCCCUGAAGCCCACAUCACCAUAUUCUGCAGGCGAAUGACGGGAUAUGUUAACAAUGACCAGCUACUAAUCCACUGCUUUCAAGAUAGUCUGGUUGGAGCGACGUCUAAGUGGUAUAAUCAACUGAGUCGAGCCAAGAUUAACUCAUGGAAGGACCUGGCUCAGGCCUUUAUGAAGUAAUACAAUCAUGUGACGGACAUGACCCCUGACAGAAUCACUCUCUAGAAUAUGGAAAAAAAGUCAAAUGAAAGCUUCAGACAGUAUGCACAAAGGUGGAGAGAGGUGGCCAUACAAGUUCAGCCGCCACUUCUAGAAAAGGAGACGACAAUGCUCUUUAUCAACACCUUGAAAUCCCCUUUUAUCACCCAUAUGUUAGGAAACGCCACAAAAAGCUUCUCUGACAUAGUGAUGACGGAGGAAAUGAUCGAGAAUGCUGUGAGGAGCGGCAAAAUAGAGUCGGGAGAGAGUGCCAGAAAGUCAGCCCCAAGGAAAAGGGAUAAUGAAGUGAACAACACGAGCACAUUCAACAAGGGGCAGUCCAAGUCAAUUACCGUGAAUCAACCCAAAACAGUGACUACCAAUCAACAAAGCUCUGUAAGACAAGAAUCCAAUUCGAGAAAGAACACAGAAAGGCCUCAAUUCACCCCUAUACCGAUGACAUAUAGGGAGUUGUACCAGAACCUGUUCAACACUCAUGUAGUAUCCCCUUUCUACCUAGAGCCACUGCAGCCCCCGUAUCCCAAAUGGUAUGACACAAACGCCCAAUGUGAAUACCACGCGGGAAUUACCAGGCACUCAAUCGAGAAUUGCACUGCGUUCAAGAAAGUAGUCGAAAGACUUAUUAAGGUGGGGAUUGUGAGAUUUGACGACUCAGCCACGCCCAAUGUAGCAGGAAACCCACUCCCCAAUCAUUCCGACCAAUGAGUGAAUGGGAUAAGUGAAGGCUUGAAUAAGAAGACCAAGUAUGAGGUGGCAGAAGUCAGGACCCCGUUGAGGCGGGUAUGGAAGGAGAUAGCCAAGAGAGAAUUGAUCGUGUUGGAUUCGAGGGAAGAAUACGAAGAAGAGAGAAACUACUGUGAGUUUCACGACAAUAUGGGGCAUGAAAUUCAAGAUUGCAUGGAGUUCAGAACCCUAGUACAAAACAUGAUGAACAAUAAAGAAAUUGAAUUCUAUGAAGAGACCAAAAACCCUGUAGAGGGAGAUAUAUGUACAUCGGAGGGAGAAUCGAUGGCACAAAAUCGAACACCUAAUUAUCCCAUGCUGAUUAUUUCGAUACCCAAAAAUAAUAAAAUUGGAGUACAAAUGCCACCGAGGGUCAUAAUCCAAAGACCUGUAGUCUUCCCUUACAAAGACAGUAAAAAGGUCCCAUGGAAUUAUGAUUGUAGUGUGACGAUGCCGGGAAAGGAGAGCCCGGUUGACGCUUCAAGAGGGGACCAAGACAAGGGUUCCUAUACACGUAGCGGGAGGCGUUACGAUACAGCGAAUGAGGAGGUGUAGCCCACAAAAGGAAAAGCCCGGGUGUUUGAGGAAAUGAAGGGAAAAACAACCAAACCUAUUAAUGAGCCAGUUAACGAAGAGGAGGCCAAGGAGUUUUUAAAAUUCCUAAAGCAUAGCGAAUACAGUGUGGUGGAACAGCUACGUAAACAACCAGCCCGUAUUUCGGUGUUGGCCUUACUUUUAAGCUCGGAAGUUCAUCGUAGCGCACUAAUGAAGGUCUUAAAUGAGACAUACGUUGCCAAUGACAUCUCCAUUAACAAACUAGACCGUUUGGUGAACAACAUAAGUGCCGACAAUUAUAUCUUCUUUAAUGACGACGAGAUACCACCCGAGGGCAUGGGGUUGACUAAAGCUCUACAUAUCACCACGCGCUGGAAAGGGUAUACGCUGCCAGGCGUACUAAUUGACAAUGGGUCAGCUUUGAACGUCUUGCCUUUGACCACGCUGAAUAGAUUACCUAUAGACAUCUCUCACAUGAAGGAGUGCCAGAACAUCGUAAAGGCAUUUGAUGGCACGGAGAGAAAGGUGAUGGGCAGAAUCGAGGUACCUCUUCAAAUUGGGCCAAACACAUAUGAGGUGGAUUUUCUUGUAAUGGACAUCAAGCCCUCAUACAAUUGCUUGUUAGGAAGGCCAUGGAUACAUUCGGCUGGGGCAGUGCCUUCCUCAUUGCAUCUGAAAUUGAAGCUAAUAUCGGAAGAGAGAUUGAUAACGAUCAAGGCUGAGGAGGAUAUUAUUGCAACUGUGAGCAAUAAUGCACCCUAUUUGGAGACAGAUGACAAAGCAAUCGAAUGCUUAUUUCGAUCUUUGGAAUUUGUUAAUGCGACCUUCAUCGCCGAGGGAAGCAAAAUUCUGGUGCCAAAAUUGUCCAAAACCACGAGGAUGAGCCUCCAGCUGACGAUUGAAAGAGGGGCCCUACCCGGAAGGGGACUUGGGAGACAUCUGCAAGGAAGGGUUGAAACACCAAUGUCGAAAGACAAGAGAGACCGCUUCGGUUUAGGAUUUAAGCCGGAUGCGAAACAAAGGAGAAGGGAGCUGGAAAAGAAGCAAGAAAGAAGAAGAGCUCGAUUAACGGGGGAGGAAAUCAAGUGGGAACCAAUGACAUUCCCCCAUAUAUUGAAAAUAUUUGUGUCCGGGGGAAUCAUUCAUCCCGAGAGAGACACACCAAUUUCGGGAGCUAUAGAAGGAAGGCUGAAAAGCUUGGACAUCAACGUCAUAUGUGAAGAGGAGACUGGAAGAGAGAAUUUGUCGGGCAUUUACCUCUACACGCCUGGAAGUGUUUUGGACAACUGGACUGCGGAAGAGAUUCUUGUAGUUUUUAGAACGGAUUCAGAGUAAUGUCCAAAACACACUUAUUGCUCUAGGCCUAGGAGUAAUAAGAAUCUUUUGUGAAAUAGGCCGAGGUUUAAAAAUGACAUUUCAGUAAAAUGUACGGUUAUUAUCAUUUUUGAGCAAAUGUUAUCUCGUCCUUUCAAUUCCAUUCAUAACCAUACAAAUGAUUACUUUCAAAUUCUUUUAUUCUUGAAACAUUCUUUUAAAUGUUCUUUCAUUCAUCAUUCAUAAUCAUAUCACGCAAAUAAAUGUUUCGAAUUCUUUUGAUUCUUUGUAUCUGCCUUCGUCCUCAUAACAAGUCCCCAGAUAUUAAUGAUACGAGUGACACUGCUAGCGACUCAGAAUUUCCUUUCAAGCAAGAUGUGUGUAUGGAUAAUUCUCAGGAUUUUGAAGAUGACCAAGGCUAUAACCUAUCUCUUGAUUUGCUGAGGAUAGUAGAACAAGACGAGAAACAAAUCCUACCUCACAAAGAAUUAAUUGAAAUUGUGAGUUUAGGAGAAGGACAAGAGGUGAAGAUCGGAACAUGUAUCACUAUGGAGAUGAAGCGAGACCUCAUUGGAUUACUUCAAGAAUUCAAAGAUGUCUUCGCAUGGUCAUACCAAGAUAUGCCUGGGUUGGACACUGACAUCGUGGUGCAUCGACUCCCCAUAAAAGAAGAGUGUAAGCCAGUUCAGCAAAAACUCCAAAGAAUGAGGCCCGAUGUCUUGCUAAAAAUAAAGGAAGAGGUCCGAAAGCAGUUUGACGCUGGAUUUCUGAAGGUGGCAAAAUACUCAGAUUGGGUAGCUAACAUCGUCCUUGUCCCUAAGAAAGAUGGAAAAGUGCGAAUGUGUGUGGACUACAGAGAUUUGAAUAAAGCCAGCCCAAAAGACAAUUUCCCACUACCUCAUAUCGACACCCUAGUGGACAAUACGGUGGGACAUUCACUGUUUUCGUUCAUGGAUGGUUUCUCGGGAUACAAUCAGAUCAAGAUGCAUCCUGAAGAUAUGGAGAAAACCAGGUUUGUAACCAUAUGGGGCAUGUUCUGUUACAAGGUGAUACCGUUUGGACUGAAGAAUGCGGGGGCAACUUAUCAAAGAGCCAUGGUAACCUUUUUUCACGACAUGAUGCAUAAAGAAAUCGAGGUCUAUGUUGAUGACAUGAUAGCUAAGUCCCGAACAGAGAAGGAGCACAUACAAGUCCUGAGAAAACUAUUCUUGAGGUUGAGGAAGUUCCAACUAAAAAUCAACCCAGCCAAAUGUACCUUCGAAGCUAAGUCUGAAAGUUGCUCGGAUUCGUGGUUAGUAAGAAAGGGAUUGAGAUCGAUCCAGACAAAGUUAAAGCCAUACAAGAGCUAUCCCCUCCGCGCACUCAGAAAGAAGUUCGACGCUUUCUAGGAAGAUUAAAUUAAAUUGCUCGGCUCAUUUCACAACUGACCGAGAAAUGUGACCCUGUCUUUCGCCUCCUCAAGAAACAUAACCCAGGUGAAUGGGAUGAAGAAUGCCAAAGGGCUUUCGACAAAGUCAAACAGUACUUAUCCAACGCCCUGGUGCUGAUGCCACCUAAUCCCGAUAAGCCAUUGAUACUGUACUUGGCAGUAUUUGAGAAUUCCAUGGGGUGUGUAUUGGGUCAGCAUGACGAGUCGAGAAGGAAGGAAAAAGCCAUUUACUAUCUUAGUAAAAAGUUCACAGAAUGUGAGACAAGGUACCCGCCGAUAGAGAAGUUGUGUUGUGCCCUAAUUUGGACAACCCGAAGGCUGAGGCAGUAUAUGUUGUAUCACACCACUUGGCUCAUAUCGAAAUUAGACCCUUUAAAGUACAUGAUGGAGUCAACAGCCUUGAAUGGAAGGAUGGCCCGAUGGCAGAUUCUACUUUCUGAAUUCGACAUAGUCUAUAUGAACCAGAAAGCAGUAAAAGGAAGUGCAAUAGCAGAUUUUUUGGCGAGUAGAGCUUUGGAAGACUACGAGCCGCUGAACUUUGACUUUCCGAAUGAAGACCUAAUGCGUAUUGCUACGGCUGAAGAAGGUGCUCCGGAAGAACUUCCUUGGAAAUUGAACUUCGAUGGGGCAUCAAAUGCUGGGGGCAAAGGAAUCGGGGCCGUUUUGGUAUCCCCAAAUGGAGAUCAUUAUCCAUGAACUAGUAAAUUGGAUUUUGAUUGUACAAACAAUAUGGCAGAAUAUGAAGCGUGCAUCAUAGGUAUCCGCGCAGCCAUAGAAUGCAAGAUUAGGGUGCUAGAGGUGUAUGGGAAUUCCGCGCUAGUGAUUUAUCAACUCAAGGGAGAAUGGGAGACCAGAGACCCCAAGUUAAUUGAUUACCGGAAGCUGGUCCUUCAAUUGGUUAAAGAGUUUGAUGACAUUACCUUCCAUUACCUUCCACGAGACGAAAAUCAGAUGGCUGAUGAUUUGGCUACUUUAGCCUCUAUGAUCAGGGUGAACAAACAAGAAGAUGUCAAACCCAUCUGGAUGAGCAUUUAUGAAGUCCCGGCCCACUGUUACAAUAUUGAAGAAGACGAGGAGAAAGAUGAUCACCCUUGGUAUCACGAUAUAUUGCAAUACGUGAAGAAUCGUGAGUACCCGGACCAGGCAAGUGAGAAUGACAAAAGAACACUAAGAAGAUUGGCCAUCGAUUAUGUCCUAGAUGGGGAUAUCCUGUACAGAAGAAGAAAGGAUCAAGUGCUACUAAGAUGUGUAGACGCUGUAGAGGCUAAGAAAAUCUUGGAAGAAGUCCACGAAGGUGUCUGUGGGACACACGCUAAUGGUUUUACAAUGGCCAGGCAAAUUAUGAGAUUCGGAUACUAUUGGUCUACCAUGGAAGGAGACUGUGUCAAUUACGCUAAGAGAUGUCAUAAGUGUCAAAUCUACGGAGACAAAAUUCAUGUGCCUCCUUCACCGCUGCAUGUCAUGGUUUCUCCAUGGCCAUUCUCUAUGUGGGGCAUGGAUGUGAUAGGACCAACAUCGCCGAAAGCUUCUAAUGGGUUUCGGUUCAUUUUUGUGGUUAUCGACUACUUCACCAAGUAGGUAGAAACCGCUUCGUAUGCUAGCGUGACCAAAUCGGUAGUAAGUAAAUUUCUGAAAAAAGAGAUCAUAUGUCGAUAUGGAAUGCCGGAGAGGAUCAUAUCUGACAAUGUAUUAAACCUGAACAAUAGUACGAUAGCGGAGGUCUGCAGUCAAUUUAAGAUCAGACAUCACAACUCGUCACCGUAUCGCCCGAAGAUAAAUGGGGCAGUGGAAGCAGCCAAUAAAAAUAUUAAGAAGAUCGUAGGGAAGGACCAAGACCUAUAGAGAUUGGCAUGAAAAGUUACCAUUUGCCCUCUUUGCUUAUCGAACGUCAGUCAGAACCUCAACCGGGGCAACCCCUUUCUCUUUGGUCUACGGAAUGGAAGCGGUGUUACCGAUCGAAGUCGAGAUCCCGUCUCUCUGAGUGUUAUCUGAGUUAAAGUUAGAAGAAGCCGAGUGGAUCCAGUCUCGAUAUGAUCAAUUGAACCUAAUUGAGGAAAAGAGGUUAAGAGCUAUCCGUAAUGGUCAGAUGUACCAAAAGCGAAUGAUGCGGGCUUAUGACAAAAAGGUUCGCCCUAGAGAAUUCCAUAAAGGAGAAGGGCCUUACAGAAAGACUUUCGAGGGAAAUGGAUGCCUAAUUGGGAAGGGCCUUACGUGGUGAAGAAAGCUUUCUCUGGAGAAGCAUUGAUUGUAACAGCCCGAUUUUGGGCCUAGUCGGAAUAGUGGUUUCGGGACCACAAAUCCGACGAGGGAAAAUAUGGUUAUUAUUAUAUUUUUAUGGUCUACAAUUUCACGGAAAAUUUUCGUAAAAAUUUCGUUCGAAAAUUUCGACGUUUGGGCACUCAAUUUAGUCAAAAGGACUAAAUUGUAAAUAGUGCAAAAGUUGAGUUCUAUAUGUAGAAGUAUCUAAUUGAUAUGAAAUUUUAAAUUGGAGGUCUUUAUGUGGUAAUUAGACCAUUAGUUAGUUGAUGGACAAAAAUAGACAUAAGAAAUGAGAGAAAUAGAUUUUUUUUUAAGUGGGGGCAUAUUAGUCAUUUGGUAAUAAAAAAAAUAAAAUGGGAAAAAGAUGACAAAAAUCAUCAUCUUCCUCAUUAGUUGCUGCCGAAAUUUGAAGGAAGCCAUAGCUAAGGUUUCUUUGCUUUCUCAAGCUCAUAGUAAGUGCAUCCUAGCCCCGUUUUUAAUGUUCUUCGCAUUUUUGGAAUCCUCGUAACUCGGUUUAGCUUAUUCUAGCAAUAAUUCGUGUUAGGGCUCAUAUUUGGAAAAAUACCCAUAGGUGAAAUGUGUUUAUUUUGCUGUUUUAUGGUGGAAUAUGAAGCUAUAAAUUAUGUUAAACAACUUUUGCUAAGCGAUUUUAAGCGAAAACGGGUAAAUAGGCAUAAUCGGUAAAAAUAAUUAUUGUUCAUAAGUGUAUGUUAGAGUGAGAAUUUGAUGUUGCCAUAGAAGGGAAAAAUGUUCAGCAUGUUAUAAAACCUAAGAAUAAGUGAUGAAGUUUAAUUUCCGAGCUUGGGGACAAAAGUGUAAUUAUGCAAAAGUUUGGGGGCAAAAUUGUAAUUUUUCAAAAAGUUGGGUGGUGGAUUAUUUUAAUGAAUGUGAACAUUAAAUGAGUUAAAUUUGCUAUUAUAGAUCAAGAAAGACGUGAAGAUUAUCUCAAACGAGGAAAAGAAAAGAUAGUGGAGUGAAGUGCAAAAUUACGAUAUUUUGCACCGAGGUAAGUAAACACGUGACUUGAUGUAUUAUUUUGACAUUAAUUGAUAUAUGUUGAGAUUUAUUUGGAAUUAAAAUAAAUGUUUGGCCAUAUCCUAAAAAUGUUGUUAAAUCGGGAAAGGUGGUAAAGGGUUGCAAUAUAUGAUUUAUGGGUUGAACACUCGGAAUAAGCCGAAGUAUGUUGUACAUAAAGGGGUUGUUGUGUGCUGAUUCCCCGAUUCAUUGGUGGUGCUAUGUGCGAUAUCCACCGUAUCUUUGAAAUGUGAAAGGGGGUUGCUAUGUGCUGAUUCCCCCGAGGGGUUGCUAAGUGCUGAUUCCCCAGUUCAUUGGUGGUGCUAAGUGCGAUAUCCACCGUAUCUCUGAAAUAAAAAGGGGGUUGCUAUGUGCUGAUUCCCCCAAGGGGUUGCUAAGUGCUGAUUCCCCGAUUAAGUGGUGGUGCUAAGUGCGAGAUCCACCAAUAACGGUUAACAUUCCGAGUGCUCAACGAAAAAGUGUGGAAGGUGAAUAUUGCCAUAUGGUGGAAAUUUUUAUGGGGCAAAUAUUGAGUUGGAUACUAAAUCGAUCCAUGUAUGAGAUGGGAGAAAAUAUCAAAAACGAAAAAAGAACGAUUUAGUUAUAAACUGUGUUGAACAACAGCAGAUGGGUAACUUUGAAAAAUCACCAUAAAUGGUGGAAAAUGAAUGGGAAGCUGAAUAAUAUAUGAAAUUGAAGCUGAAUGUGUCUAUUUUCAUAUGAAAUAAAUAGAAUAAGCAAAAGAGUUGUAUUUUUAGAGAUAUCUGAAUUUUACUGAAACAGGGCUGGAUUGAUUUUGGGAUCCCCUGUUCUAACUUUGGAAAAUCACCAAAAAUUGUACAAAAAUAAUUAUGGUGUGAAAUUUAUAUUCCUGGAUUCCUUAUUGACUCUAUUUUUAAUAGAAACAAGCGAAACCAUUUUUAAAAUUUUUUACAGAGAGUUAAGUGAAUUUUUUUGAGGAAGGGUCAGAACCGUUGGGCAGUGAAACAGGGGAAGUUUUAAUGAAUAAACUGUACUAAUUGGAUGGGUAAAAAAAUUCUGAAAUUUUUAUGGUGAAAUGGUAUAUGAGUCUAGUUUCAGGGAAAAUUUACGAAACUCAAUUUGGAGCCCUGUAGCUCCGGAUAAAAAUAAAUUAGCGACUAUGAUGCAGAAAAACAGUUUGCUGGAAAUUGCCUAAACAAUGAAGUUAUUCAUGAAUAAGUUUAUAUUUUGGUGUAGUUAUGUGAGUAAUUACUUAUUUAUCAUGUGUUUACUUACUAAGCUAUAUGCUUACUCGAUUUUAUUUUUCCCUUGAUUAUAGUGACUUCCGACAACUCGGAAAUUUGAAACGAAGUCAGACAAUCAUCCACACUAUCCUUCACACUUGGGGUAUUUUGCUACUAUCGUUCCGGAAAAUUAUGGCAUGUAAAGACGACCUAUGAAAUAUGGAAUCAUCAUGUAAAUAUAUGUUAUGGUUUGAUUUAAAAUGUGGUGUUCAUUAAUAGUUAAAUUGUGAGUAUUAUUAUAAAUGAGUUUGGUUGAUAUAUAUAUAUUGGAUUGUGAUUUAAAUUUGCAGGAGGUUUAAGCAAAAUUAAGCAGAAAUGCUGUCGAAAUUUUUUUUAAAAAACUUAGUAAUACCUCAUACUCUGUUCCGAGCCGGAAUACGAGUAAGGGGUGUUACAUUUUAGUGGUAUCAGAGCUACGGUUUAGUCUGUUCUCGGACCAAUAAAAUAUGUGUGAAAGUCAGUCUAUACAUGCCAUCAAUAUAUUGUGAUAGUGUGAUGAUUUCUGACAAUUUAAAAUUUUGUUUUAUAUAGUAAAUGGAUCCUAAUCGAAGUAUGGCAGAUGAUGUUGAAAGUAACACGCCGGUUCCCGCACAAGGGACCGCGCAUGAAGAGAGUAGACAUGAGACACAUGGACAGGAUGAGGCUCGAGAAGCCUUCCUCCGAAUGAUGAGUGAUUGGUAUACAGAAUAUGUCCGUGUAAAUCCGAAUGUUCCACCUCCUCCACCCCCUCCUAUUCCUCCGCCGGUCCCCGUAGCUCCACGAAGUGCUGAAUUGGUGAGAUCAAGUAAACCACCCGUUGAUAGAAUUCGAAAGCAUGGGGCUGAAGAUUUCAGGGCCAAUGUUGAGGAUGAUCCGGAAAAAGCCGAGUUUUGGCUUGAAAAUACUAUCCAGGUAUUUGAUGAAUUAUCUUGUACUCCUGAGGAAUGUUUGAAAUGUGCUGUGUCUUUAUUGAAGGAUUCGGCAUACCGUUGGUGGAAAACAUUAAUAACGGUGGUUCCAAAAGAAAGAGUUACUUGGGACUUCUUUCAGGAAGAAUUCAGAAAGAAAUAUGUAAGCCAACGGUUUAUUGAUCAGAAGCGCAAAGAGUUUCUCGGAUUGAAACAGGGCCGAAUGUCAGUAGCAGAAUAUGAACGGGAGUUUGUCCGGCUUAGUAAAUAUGCCCAGGAAUGUGUGCCUACGGAGGCUAUUAUGUGUAAAAGAUUUGAAGAGGGGCUAAAUGAAGACAUCAGAUUACAUGUUGGAAUUUUAGAGUUAAAAGAAUUUGUGGUACUAGUUGAUCGUGCUUGCAAAGCUGAAGAGCUGAGUAGAGAAAAGAGAAGGGCAGAGAUGGAAGCUCGAGAUGUAAGGAAGAGGUCAAUUGGCAGAACAUUUCAAUCUCACCCGAAGAAGUUUAAAGGGAUGGAUCCACGACCAACCGGUUCAGUUGGGUAUUCACGCAGAGACCGAGGGAGGUCAUAUUCCGGAACUACAACUCGAGCUACCUCAGUGGCAAGUGUGGGUAAUGUAGGAAACACCAGACCUGAAUGUCAACAGUGUGGCAGGCGACAUACUGGUGAGUGUUGGGGAUUUAAACGAGCUUGUUUCAGAUGUGGUUCCCAAGAGCAUUAUGUAAAAGACUGCCCUGAGAGAAUAGAAGAAGAAAGAUUACAAAGAGCUGGAUCGGGUGAUGUUGUCAGUAGAGGCAGACCACCGAGAAAUGUGGGAAGCAAAGCCAGUGGUAAGAGUGUGAUAAAAGAUGCAGCUGGAGGAUCAGAAACUAGAGCGCCUGCCAGGACUUAUGCUAUACGCGCUCGAGAGGAUGCCUCAUCUCCCGAUGUGAUUACUGGUACAUUUUCUCUUCAUGAUAUUGAUGUUAUUGCUUUGAUUGAUCCCGGCUCUACUCAUUCAUAUAUAUGCAUGAAUUUGGUGUCUAGUAAGAAAUUGCCUGUUGAAAACACUAAAUUUGUAGUUAAAGUAUCAAAUCCUUUAGGCAAAUAUGUCUUAGUCGAUAAGGUUUGCAAGAAUUGUCCCCUGAUGAUUCAAGGUCACUGUUUCCCGGCUAAUUUGAUGUUGUUACCAUUUGAUGAGUUUGAUGUUAUUUUGGGGAUGGAUUGGUUGAUAUUGCAUGAUGCCAAGGUAAAUUGUAGACAGAAAAUUCUUGAAUUAAAUUGUGAAAACGGUGAAAUUCUCCGGGUUGAAACAAAGGAGCCGAAUAAGUUGCCUAUGGUGAUUUCGCACAUGUCUGCUGAGAAAUACUUGAGAAAGGGAUGUGAAGUUUAUCUUGCUUAUGUGCUGAACACGGAUAUUACUGGGUCAAAGCUUGAAUCAGUGCCGGUAGUUUGUGAAUUUCCAGAUGUAUUUCCAGAGGAAUUGCCUGGGUUACCUCCGAUUAGAGAAGUUGAGUUUUCUAUUGAUCUGUUACCUGGUACUGCACCGAUUUCUAUUGCACCGUAUCGAAUGGCUCCGACUGAGUUGAAGGAAUUAAAAGCUCAGUUACAAGAGUUGACAGAUAAAGGAUUUGUGAGACCGAGUUUUUCUCCUUGGGGUGCUCCUGUGUUAUUUGUGAAAAAAAAAGACGGCUCUAUGAGACUUUGUAUUGACUAUCGUCAGCUCAACAAGGUGACUAUAAAGAACAAGUAUCCUUUGCCGAGAAUUGAUGAUUUAUUUGAUCAAUUAAAAGGGGCAACAGUGUUUUUUAAGAUUGAUUUGAGGUCUGGUUACUAUCAGUUAAGAGUUAAAGAGUCUGAUGUGCCGAAAACCGCCUUUAGAACAAGGUAUGGACACUAUGAAUUUCUGGUAAUGCCUUUUGGGUUAACAAAUGCUCCAGCUAUUUUUAUGGACUUGAUGAACCGAAUUUUUCGGCCGUACUUGGAUAAGUUCGUGGUGGUGUUCAUAGAUGAUAUUUUAAUCUAUUCUCGGGAUGAAUCUGAGCAUGCAGAACAUUUAAGAACUGUGUUGCAGAUUCUGAGAGAAAAGAAAUUGUAUGCUAAAUUCAGCAAAAGUGAGUUUUGGCUUCGUGAGGUUGGAUUCUUGGGACAUAUAGUUUCAAGUGAAGGUAUUCGGGUUGAUCCAAGCAAAAUUUCAGCAAUUGUUGAUUGGGAGCCACCAAAGAAUGUGACAGAAGUUAGAAGCUUUCUGGGCUUAGCUGGGUAUUACAGACGCUUUGUCAAGGGAUUUUCGAUGAUUGCUUCUCCUAUGACUAAGUUACUGCAGAAGAAUGUCAAGUUUGAAUGGACCACUAAAUGUCAACAGAGUUUUGAAAAGUUGAAGGCAUUAUUGACUGAGGCGCCAGUGUUGGUGCAACCUGAGUCCGGGAAGGAGUUUGUAAUUUACAGUGAUGCAUCGUUGAAUGGUCUUGGGUGUGUGUUAAUGCAAGAGGGCAAAGUAAUAGCUUAUGCUUCGAGACAAUUGAAACCGCAUGAGAAGAAUUAUCCGACGCAUGAUUUAGAAUUGGCUGCCAUUGUUUUUGCUUUAAAAAUUUGGCGUCAUUAUUUGUAUGGUGAAAAGUGCCGAAUCUUCACUGAUCAUAAGAGUUUGAAGUAUUUGAUGAGCCAAAAAGAUUUGAAUUUGCGGCAACGAAGAUGGCUCGAGCUAAUCAAAGACUAUGAGCUAGUGAUUGAUUAUCACCCCGGGAAAGCUAAUGUGGUUGCUGAUGCCUUGAGUAGAAAAUCUUUAUUUGCUUUGAGAGCUAUGGGUACGAUGUUAACUUUAUCUGAUGAUGGUUCAAUGUUGGUUGAAUUGAGAGCUAGACCAUUAUUUCUUCAGCAAAUUCGGGAAUCUCAAAAGAAUGACAGUAAAUUGCAAGCCAAGAGAGCUCAGUGUGAAGCAGGUGUUGACUCAGAUUUUCAAAUUGGUUCAGAUGAUUGCUUGAUGUUCCGGGAUAGAGUAUGUGUACCAAGAAAUGAUGAGUUAAUUCAGACCAUUUUAUGUGAGGCACAUAGUGGUGACUUGUCAGUUCAUCCGGGUAGUGUGAAAAUGUAUAAUGAUUUGAAGAAGUUGUAUUGGUGGCCAGGCAUGAAAAAGGAUAUCUCGGAAUUUGUAUCAAAGUGUUUAAUCUGUCAACAAGUGAAGGCUGAGCAUCAAGUACCAUCGGGUUUACUUCAACCGAUAACGAUUCCAGAGUGGAAGUGGGAUAGUAUUACGAUGGAUUUUGUGACAGGAUUGCCUUUAACUCCAAAGAAGAAAGAUGCUAUUUGGGUAAUUGUUGAUAGAUUGACAAAGUCGGCUCAUUUUAUUCCGAUACGCAUUGAUUACUCACUUGACAGGUUGGCAGAAUUAUAUGUUGCUGAAAUAGUGAAAUUACAUGGGGUGCCUAAAUCUAUUAUAUCGGAUAGAGAUCCGAGAUUUACUUCGAGGUUUUGGAUAAAGUUGCAGGAAGCCUUGGGUACAAAAUUGAAUUUCAGUACUGCGUUUCAUCCGCAAACUGACGGGCAAUCGGAAAGAGUGAUUCAAAUUCUUGAAGAUAUGCUCCGGUGUUGUAUUUUAGAAUUGAAAGGCAGUUGGGAGAAAUAUCUACCAUUGGUUGAAUUUGCUUAUAACAAUAGCUAUCAGUCAAGUAUACGAAUGGCACCGUAUGAAGCAUUAUAUGGGCGUAAGUGUAGAACUCCUUUAUAUUGGACUGAGCUCGGUGAGAACCGGAUUCAUGGAGUCGACUUGGUGAAAGAAACUGAAGAAAAGGUGAAAAUAAUUCGUGACUGUUUAAAGGCUGCCUCAGAUCGGCAAAAGUCGUAUGCGGAUUUAAAGAGAAAAGAAAUUGAGUUUCAAGUAGGUGAUAAGGUGUUCUUGAAGGUGUCUCCAUGGAAGAAGAUUCUGAGAUUUGGUCGUAAAGGCAAACUAAGUCCACGAUUUAUUGGACCAUAUGAAGUUACCGAGAGAGUUGGCCCUGUAGCAUAUCGGUUAGCUUUACCACCGGAGUUGGAAAAGAUACAUAAUGUGUUUCAUGUGUCGAUGUUGCGACGUUACCGUUCGGAUCCUUCACAUAUAGUUUCCCCUACAGAGAUUGAGGUCAGACCAGAUAUGACUUAUGAGGAAGAACCAAUAAAGAUUUUGGCUCGGGAAGUCAAGCAGUUAAGGAAUAAAAGUGUAUCCUUAGUAAAAGUACUGUGGCAAAAACAUGGGAUGGAGGAAGCUACGUGGGAACCGGAGGAAAUUAUGAGGAAACAGUACCCAAAUCUCUUUUCCGGUAAGAUUUUCGGGGACGAAAAUCCUUAAGGGGGGAGAGUUGUAACAGCCCGAUUUUGGGCCUAGUCGGAAUAGUGGUUUCGGGACCACAAAUCCGACGAGGGAAAAUAUGGUUAUUAUUAUAUUUUUAUGGUCUACAAUUUCACGGAAAAUUUUCGUAAAAAUUUCGUUCGAAAAUUUCGACGUUUGGGCACUCAAUUUAGUCAAAAGGACUAAAUUGUAAAUAGUGCAAAAGUUGAGUUCUAUAUGUAGAAGUAUCUAAUUGAUAUGAAAUUUUAAAUUGGAGGUCUUUAUGUGGUAAUUAGACCAUUAGUUAGUUGAUGGACAAAAAUAGACAUAAGAAAUGAGAGAAAUAGAUUUUUUUUUAAGUGGGGGCAUAUUAGUCAUUUGGUAAUAAAAAAAAUAAAAUGGGAAAAAGAUGACAAAAAUCAUCAUCUUCCUCAUUAGUUGCUGCCGAAAUUUGAAGGAAGCCAUAGCUAAGGUUUCUUUGCUUUCUCAAGCUCAUAGUAAGUGCAUCCUAGCCCCGUUUUUAAUGUUCUUCGCAUUUUUGGAAUCCUCGUAACUCGGUUUAGCUUAUUCUAGCAAUAAUUCGUGUUAGGGCUCAUAUUUGGAAAAAUACCCAUAGGUGAAAUGUGUUUAUUUUGCUGUUUUAUGGUGGAAUAUGAAGCUAUAAAUUAUGUUAAACAACUUUUGCUAAGCGAUUUUAAGCGAAAACGGGUAAAUAGGCAUAAUCGGUAAAAAUAAUUAUUGUUCAUAAGUGUAUGUUAGAGUGAGAAUUUGAUGUUGCCAUAGAAGGGAAAAAUGUUCAGCAUGUUAUAAAACCUAAGAAUAAGUGAUGAAGUUUAAUUUCCGAGCUUGGGGACAAAAGUGUAAUUAUGCAAAAGUUUGGGGGCAAAAUUGUAAUUUUUCAAAAAGUUGGGUGGUGGAUUAUUUUAAUGAAUGUGAACAUUAAAUGAGUUAAAUUUGCUAUUAUAGAUCAAGAAAGACGUGAAGAUUAUCUCAAACGAGGAAAAGAAAAGAUAGUGGAGUGAAGUGCAAAAUUACGAUAUUUUGCACCGAGGUAAGUAAACACGUGACUUGAUGUAUUAUUUUGACAUUAAUUGAUAUAUGUUGAGAUUUAUUUGGAAUUAAAAUAAAUGUUUGGCCAUAUCCUAAAAAUGUUGUUAAAUCGGGAAAGGUGGUAAAGGGUUGCAAUAUAUGAUUUAUGGGUUGAACACUCGGAAUAAGCCGAAGUAUGUUGUACAUAAAGGGGUUGCUGUGUGCUGAUUCCCCGAUUCAUUGGUGGUGCUAUGUGCGAUAUCCACCGUAUCUUUGAAAUGUGAAAGGGGGUUGCUAUGUGCUGAUUCCCCCGAGGGGUUGCUAAGUGCUGAUUCCCCAGUUCAUUGGUGGUGCUAAGUGCGAUAUCCACCGUAUCUCUGAAAUAAAAAGGGGGUUGCUAUGUGCUGAUUCCCCCAAGGGGUUGCUAAGUGCUGAUUCCCCGAUUAAGUGGUGGUGCUAAGUGCGAGAUCCACCAAUAACGGUUAACAUUCCGAGUGCUCAACGAAAAAGUGUGGAAGGUGAAUAUUGCCAUAUGGUGGAAAUUUUUAUGGGGCAAAUAUUGAGUUGGAUACUAAAUCGAUCCAUGUAUGAGAUGGGAGAAAAUAUCAAAAACGAAAAAAGAACGAUUUAGUUAUAAACUGUGUUGAACAACAGCAGAUGGGUAACUUUGAAAAAUCACCAUAAAUGGUGGAAAAUGAAUGGGAAGCUGAAUAAUAUAUGAAAUUGAAGCUGAAUGUGUCUAUUUUCAUAUGAAAUAAAUAGAAUAAGCAAAAGAGUUGUAUUUUUAGAGAUAUCUGAAUUUUACUGAAACAGGGCUGGAUUGAUUUUGGGAUCCCCUGUUCUAACUUUGGAAAAUCACCAAAAAUUGUACAAAAAUAAUUAUGGUGUGAAAUUUAUAUUCCUGGAUUCCUUAUUGACUCUAUUUUUAAUAGAAACAAGCGAAACCAUUUUUAAAAUUUUUUACAGAGAGUUAAGUGAAUUUUUUUGAGGAAGGGUCAGAACCGUUGGGCAGUGAAACAGGGGAAGUUUUAAUGAAUAAACUGUACUAAUUGGAUGGGUAAAAAAAUUCUGAAAUUUUUAUGGUGAAAUGGUAUAUGAGUCUAGUUUCAGGGAAAAUUUACGAAACUCAAUUUGGAGCCCUGUAGCUCCGGAUAAAAAUAAAUUAGCGACUAUGAUGCAGAAAAACAGUUUGCUGGAAAUUGCCUAAACAAUGAAGUUAUUCAUGAAUAAGUUUAUAUUUUGGUGUAGUUAUGUGAGUAAUUACUUAUUUAUCAUGUGUUUACUUACUAAGCUAUAUGCUUACUCGAUUUUAUUUUUCCCUUGAUUAUAGUGACUUCCGACAACUCGGAAAUUUGAAACGAAGUCAGACAAUCAUCCACACUAUCCUUCACACUUGGGGUAUUUUGCUACUAUCGUUCCGGAAAAUUAUGGCAUGUAAAGACGACCUAUGAAAUAUGGAAUCAUCAUGUAAAUAUAUGUUAUGGUUUGAUUUAAAAUGUGGUGUUCAUUAAUAGUUAAAUUGUGAGUAUUAUUAUAAAUGAGUUUGGUUGAUAUAUAUAUAUUGGAUUGUGAUUUAAAUUUGCAGGAGGUUUAAGCAAAAUUAAGCAGAAAUGCUGUCGAAAUUUUUUUUAAAAAACUUAGUAAUACCUCAUACUCUGUUCCGAGCCGGAAUACGAGUAAGGGGUGUUACAUUGAUUCUAGCCGAAAUGGACGGUAGAAACUUGCCCAAUCUUGUAAACUCGGAUUCGGUCAAGAAGUAUUUUACCUGAAGAAAGGGCAGUCAGAGUGAAAACCCGCAAAGGGCGCUCUGAAAUCUAAAAAAAAAACGGAGAGGCCAAGGUGAAAACCCGCAAAGGGCACUUUGGAACCAAAGGGGCUCUUGAGUUGAAAACCCAAAAACGGGCAGCUCAAAUUUUGAACAUAGGGCAUAUGGUAGUAUGGUCCUUCCGAAAUCAGCAAGACAGAAGAACGUUACACCUGGGAGCAUCAACAAAAUACGCGGGAUAUCCUGAACACACAUUUGGUUCGAAAGAACCUUUGAGAAAUUAGAAUAGUUAAACUCGUGCUGCGAUGUCUGGGGCAUCUUUUUCUCAUUUUUUGCACCUUACCAGAUUCGUUAUCCUAUAUAUUCACAACAAAUUUUGCUUAAUAAAUUUCCAUUUGUCCAUUAUGAUAAUCGCUUUCAAGCAUUUUGUUGAAAUCGAAAUUUUUGGACAUGUAAUAUCUACAUAAAAGAUGAUAUGCAUAUUACUCUGGAAAAGUCUCUAAAUAGUACAAGGACCUGAAACAGGGCCACUAGUCAGAACUAACCAAGUUCAAAGUUGGAAAACAUUGGAAAAAGAGUAGUCCAGGUUAGGAUUAUUUCUUCAAAUUUUCUGUCAGAGAUAACGGCUAAGCAAGAAAACGCGAUAGCACAUCAAUGAUGGAACCGGACAAAUUAUGAACAAUGAUGCCUUAAGCAUUCAAAAAGAAAUCACUCUCAUAACAUUUCCACAUUCAUAAUCAUUCAUUUAGGAGCACUUGAUUCAUUUCGAUCAUGCCAUUCUAAUUAUCUGACAUAAACACCACAUCUAGUUAGGGACAUAUGAUUCAUCUCGAUCAGAGCAUCCUAAUUAUUUGAUACAGGAAACCAAUUCUACAAAUCAUGUCUUUGGAAGACAGUGUAGUGACAUUGGCGAAUCCCACAGAUCUUGUUUCCCUGAAGUUGCAGUGGAGUAGAUCGAAGACGACGAAUCUUGACUUUCUGAAGUUGCAGUGAAGCAGAUUUAAGUCACUAACCUAGCUCCCUAAAGUUGUAGUGGAGUAGGUUGAAAUUACAGAUCUUGUUUCCCUGAAGUCGCGGUGGAGUAGAUCGAAGACGAUGAAUAUUGACUUCCUAAAGUUGCAGUGAAGCAGAUUUAAGUCACUAACCUAGCUCCCUAAAGUUGUAGUGGAGUAGGUUGAAAUUACAUAUCUUGUUUCCCUGAAGUUGCAGUGGAGUAGAUCGAAGACGACGAAUCUUGACUUUCUGAUGUUGCAGCGAAGCAGAUUUAAGCCACCAUCCUAGCUCCCUAAAGUUGUAGUGGAGUAGGCUGAAGAUUGCAGAUCUUGUUUCUCUGAGAUUGUAGUGGAUCAGAUCGAAGACAGCGGAUCUAGGUUUCCUGAUGUUGCAGCGAAGCAGAUUUAAGUCACCACCCUAGCUCCCUAAAGUUGUAGUGGAGUAGGUUGAAGAUUGUAGAUCUUGUUUCCCUGAGAUUGCAGUGGAGCAGAUUGAAGAUGGCGGAUCUAGGUUUCUUGAUAUUGCAGCGAAGCAGAUUUAAGUCACCACCCUAGCUCCCUGAAGUUGUAGUGGAGUAGACCCAAGAUUGCAGACCUCGUCUCCAGUGGAGCAGAUCAAAGAAAACAAGCCUCAACACCCUAAGUAGUAGGGCAACAGGCCGAAGAUUACAGGAUCUCGUCUCCCUGAAGUUGUAGUGGAGCAAGAUCGAAAUCACGAUCCUUGUCUCUUUGAAGUUGCAGUAGAGCAGGAUAAAAAAAACACGUGAACCAUGUCUCCCUGAAGUUGCAGUGGAGCAUAUUGAAGCUACUUGAAAAAAAGAAGCACCAACAAGUCGAGACUCAGCAGAUCCAGGCAAAAUUGGCCUAUUUAUAGUCUUUGCACUAUUCUCGUUACACGACAAUGAGCAAAGAGGGGCAGCUAUAAUGGGCCGAUUUAGCCCGGGCCCACGUUAGAACCAAAACCCAAAAUAAAUACCAAAUUAUUAAACCAAAAGUCCAAAGAAUGAAACCAAACUAAUAGUCUGCCAUAAAGGUCCAAAUAUUACAACCAAUAACAAUGCCCCAUAACCCAAAUACAACGGCCCAAUAACUGGAACAGACCCAAACGACCCCAAAAAUUGAGCCAAGUUUCGGCAAACCCUAAGUCACCCCUCUCUCCUGCGCCGCAACAACAACUGGGCAAUAGACCCAUACCUCCACUACAGUAGUCCCAUACCUCCACAGCCCUCGUAUGCCAUGCCCCCACCCCGUGCGCAUGCUAACAGACUCUGUACCUGCAAGAAAGAAACAAAAGCAACAGCAAAUGGAAACAAAUAUAUUGUAUAUUUUCGGUUGAUUUCCUUUUUCGACUAUAAAAGCCCAGCUUUUAAUCUGUGUAAGGGGGGCAUACACACAUACAUUAUACGAAAAUUGAAUAGAAAAAUUCAAGAACAAUUUCUGAAGAGGUGAUCUUUCUAAGUCUUUUUAAUUUUUCUGUCAUUUUUUUUUUCAUUGAUUGUUUUCAUCAUUUUCAUUCUAAAACAAAGAAGAGGAAAAAGCAAACCUUACCUUGCGAAACGGCCAUGAAUCUGUUCACUUCGUUAAGGUCGAGGUUGGAAAAGUCCUAAGGCGCCGUUGAUUGUUGUUGAUAUGCUAUCGACCACCUGAUUAAGUGGUGGAUUCGGUGGUUGCUGGAACAGACCUUAAUGAGUUGAUUUUCUAAGGCUGUGAAUUUUGGCUAAAUGAUGGCUGCGUUUGGGAAAAGAAGAAAG
rnacentral:lncRNA from 1 species